rnacentral:rRNA from 1 species
UCCCCUAGUAACUGCGAGUGAAGAGGGAAGAGCUCAAAUUUAAAAUCUGGCAGCUUCGCUGUCCGAGUUGUAAUUUAGAGAAGUGAUGCCCGUGCUGGACCGUGUACAAGUCUCCUGGAAUGGAGCGUCAUAGAGGGUGAGAAUCCCGUCUUUGACACGGACUCCCAGUGCAUUGUGGUACGCUCUCAAAGAGUCGUGUUGUUUGGGAAUGCAGCACUAAAUGGGUGGUAAAUUCCAUCUAAAGCUAAAUAUUGGCGAGAGACCGAUAGCAAACAAGUACCGUGAGGGAAAGAUGAAAAGAACUUUGGAAAGAGAGUUAAACAGUACGUGAAAUUGUUGAAAGGGAAACGCUUAAAGUCCAGUCGCGUCUUCUGGGAAUCAGUCUUGCUUCUGCAUGAUGUACUUUCUAGUCGACGGGUCAGCAUCAGUUUUGACCGGUGGACAAGAGUUGGAGGAAUGUGGCACCCUCGGGUGUGUUAUAGCCUCUGAUUGUAUACRCCGGUUGGGACUGAGGAACUCAGCACGCCGCAAGGCCGGGUCUUUUGACCACGUUCGUGCUUAGGAUGCUGGCAUAAUGGCUUUAAUCGACCCGUCUUGAAACACGGACCAAGGAGUCUAACAUGCCUGCGAGUAUUUGGGUGGAAAACCCGAGUGCGUAAUGAAAGUGAAAGUUGAGAACUCUCUAGAGUGCAUCGACACCCGGACCAGAUGUUUUCUGACGGAUCCGCGGUAGAGCAUGUAUGUUGGGACCCGAAAGAUGGUGAACUAUGCCUGAAUAGGGUGAAGCCAGAGGAAACUCUGGUGGAGGCUCGUAGCGAUACUGACGUGCAAAUCGAUCGUCGAAUUUGGGUAUAGGGGCGAAAGA